UUUGCGAAGAGAGUGACAGUGUCAAGAGUAGACAUUUACGAAUGGAUCACGGUUUCAUACAAUCACAUGGGGACUGGGAUUAUUAAGUGCUACGCUGUCUUUGGAUGGGAAACAAUAUGGAGCGCAACAUCGAAUUCCUUUCCGGGUGGUCCACGAAUAUUUUCUCCAAAUCUGAUGAAGUCAUGCUUUUCCAAUCGAAUCCGCCUGGAGCUCAUAGACGCAACUUGAGAUUAUAUCUUGGACAUUGAUGCUGUUAAUUUACAUGGAAGCGCAGUUGUUGCUAAAUCAUAUAAAAUCGAAAUGGGACUGACACGUGUGAAGGAGGCGGAGAGUAUCCUGAGCCGAUCUACAUACAGCCCAGCCACGUGGAGGCCCGCUGACAAGGGACCUUACAGACAUGUCAGGCUUCAGGCGAAUCCACCAAACUACUGAAAGUUUGUGAGGUCGAAAUCAAAAGAUCCCCCCAACCAAGGACACCCCGUAAUCAUGAGCUUUACGUUAAAAAUAUCAUGCGUAAUUGUGUGGUCUCCUAUAUAUAGGAUGAUUGAGAGUUCAUGUAUUUUAUUUGAUAUUCAUGCAUUCAGUCCCGAUACCCGUGUAUGAUAUCCAUUUAUAAGUUCAUAUAACACAAACAUAAUUGCGACAUAUUGCAAGAAUGGUCCAUCUGACACUUAUGUUGAAACAAGAUACAUACUCAAAGGUCAAACAGUUAUGUUAUGGAUGAAGUAUAAUAU